ACUAACAAGGAUUCCCUUAGUAACGGCGAGUGAACAGGGAGAAGCCCAGCGCCGAAUCUCUCGGUGUUGUCGCCGUUGAGAAAUGUGGCGUAUAGGUGUGGUUUUCAGUUUGUGCCAUAUGCCCAAAGUCCCUUUGAUAGGGGCCACAUUCCCGAGAGGGUGCGAGACCUGUGCGGGCAGUGGAGCAAGCUGUACGAUCAUACCUUGGAGUCGGGUUGCUUGAAAGUGCAGCCUAAAGUGGGUGAUAAACUUCAUCUAAGGCUAAAUAUAGACGCGAAUUCGAUAGCAAACAAGUACUGUGAAGGAAAGUUGCAAAGAACUUUGAAGAGAGAGUUCAAGAGAACGUGAAAUCGCUGGAAUGGAACCGGAGAGAGUUGACGUAGUCGGGCAACUAAGUCCUAUUGUAGUCGCUUAAUUGUGAUGUUACAAUGGAUGUAUGUUGCCUAUGACUGUGCUGACAGCACUGGCUGUGUGUUCCGAACCGUACGUGCGUUGCCCACCUCGGCGACGAGGUGGUGUCUUGUUUACGGCAAGGUUCUUCGUGGCUAGUGUGUUAUCCUGCUUGUGGCUAGGGUGUCAGUAUGAAAAUCAACCACCUCUCCGACCCGUCUUGAAACACGGACCGAGGAGUGUAACUUGUACGCGAGUCAAAGGGUGGAAAACCCCACGGCGAAAUGAAAGUAAAGGUCGGUGAACCGACUGACAUGGGAUCCACUUUUCGAGGUGGCGCACCAUGGCCCUGUCUUGUCUGCAUGCAGAUGGGCAGCGGUAGAGCGUACAGGUUGCGACC
rnacentral:rRNA from 1 species